UAAAAUUAAACCCCAAAACCUUACAAGCACAAAGGGGUUAUUUAUAUCCAGUAUAAGUCGUUUUUAACAAAUAGGUCCAGAGUUUAGUAAUUCAUCAUCCUGCCCAAUAAAAGGCCAGGCCCAGGGUUAAAAUUUUCCUUUGACCAAGCACCCUUGAGUUGGCUCAAACUUAAAUUUACCGCUUCAUUUUAAAGGGUUCCCACCGAGCGGAAGAAACAAGAGAGCGGGAGAGAAGUCAAGGAAAAGAGGAGAUUCCAUCACCGCCGUCCGAAGAGGAGGCACGACCAUGAGCAGGGUCAGAGUCAGAAUAAGGAGACCUCGUAGGCGAUUGUUGCGCUUGCUUUGAAAUCUAAACCCUAGAUUGCUGCUUUCUGCCUAUUUUGUUAUUUAUUUAUUUCAUUGUUUUUAUGUUCUUUUAGAUGAGCUUUUUUUUUUUUAAUCUUUAAUUCUUUAUUUUUAUGUUCAUGUUCUUGUAGCUGGAAUACUAUUGUAGCGAUGAAAACGUGCGUAAGUGUAUCACGUGUCCGAUUAAGAAGAACAAAAAAGGUUUUAGGGCUUGUAGCCUUGAUUGGUUUUGCUGCGUGGAAAUGAUUAGUGACCUCUCCAAUCACCAAGGAGAUGGAACUAUUAUGCUCAUACCAUAAAAAGGGUUAAAGUUGAUAAUGAUAUCUCACAUGGGUCGCAAUUUUUAACUUCACUGAUAGAAGAUUUAAGAAACUGGGCUUGGAUUUGGUUUUUAAGUAACUUAUGGAUGAAAACAGAUAGUAUAAAAAUAAGUUUUAGCUGAUCUAUUUGAGGAAUUAACAACUGCACAUAGGUAUGUUGUCGAAUCUGUGAAUUUUGUAGCUUGCAGUGAAAGGGCAGUUUAUCAUAAAAUUCUUGUACAAGUGAGAAGCGACAUGGUAAGAGCUUGUUAACUAGCUGUAUCCUAAUUUCUGUUUGUUUCAUUUACCUUGACAGUAUUUGUUUGUUAAAAAAAGAAAAAGUAGAAAGGGGCAGUGUCUUCACCGUGCCUUGUAGUUUCCUCUCAUUUUCAAUAUUAUAUCAGAACUUUUGACAUUUCCAUUGAAGAAAGUAGAACUGAUGAGGAUGGUAUUUCAUGCGAGUGGAAUAAAUUGCAUCGCAUAGCAGCCAACCAGUAAAUUAGUUAGGUUGUAACUUCAAAUCUAUCACAAGCGUUCACCUAUGGAACCCUUUUCCUUAUUCUGCGACACAUGCAGAAGGGAUUGUCGAUAUUGUGCUGUUUUUCAUCAAAAAGCUGUAAAGUUUUUAAGCUUGCAACCUCUGCUGUUUUUGUCUUUGAAUAAAUUUAUUUAUUAAUCUAAAAUUAUAGGCUAAACUGUACAGGAAGUUUAUUUAUGCCUUUUUUUUUAACAGAGAAGAUCCUAUCUGGAACUUUCUUUUUUUUGUAAGCAAUAGAUAAAGAGAGAUUAUCUUGAAUAGAGAUGAAGGUGAUGAAGUACAGCAGGUACUUAUGACCGGUCUCAGCUUUGAUGUUUUCUUGGUGCACCCAAUUUCUGAUGUGCCGAACAUCUGAGGAGUUGUUUGACUGAAUGAAUAGGCAAUCUACUACUUUCUGAUUCAUUCUCUAUUCUUAUAACUCCAACUUAACAUCAACAAAUGAUUGUCGAAAUUCAUCAACUAGACCUAGUAUUUUGUGCUUAUACUUUCUUUUGUUCUCUUUCGAAUGGAGAUUAUAAGCACCUAUGUCAAAACUUCUUUAGUUAGAACUUUACCUUUCUAUAAUCAAUAGUAUUGAAAGAAACGUUCUCCUUUUCUUUCUUGGUGAAUUAGAACGGCAUAGCUUUUACAGCUGAGCAUGACAUUCAUCAUAGCUUAUAAUGUUUGAUCUUUAGUUCUUUGAAUACUUGAAAGCUGCAGGCGGUGCUGUUUUUGGCUGUCAGUAACAGCAUCUGCCUUGAUAUUCGAAUUUCUGAAACUUGUAGCUAUAGUUUAUUGUCGUCUGAAUAUAUUUAUAUGAUUUAAAAUCAUUUCCCUUUUGCUUUC